GAACGAACCGAGCACCGAGUGUGAGCAAGAAACAAGAAUAGGGGAGAUCCGGGACAGCGGAGGACAGAGAGAGUCUGGCGGAGAAGCUGGAGCCGGACGCGUGUUGGAUAAGACUGCAAUAAAGACUGUUGCUUGAACGUUA